AGUGAACGCUGGCGGUAGGCCUAACACAUGCAAGUCGAACGGCAGCACAGUAAGAGCUUGCUCUUACGGGUGGCGAGUGGCGGACGGGUGAGGAAUACAUCGGAAUCUACUUUUUCGUGGGGGAUAGCGUAGGGAAACUUACGCUAAUACCGCAUACGACCUACGGGUGAAAGCAGGGGAUCUUCGGACCUUGCGCGAUUGAAUGAGCCGAUGUCGGAUUAGCUAGUUGGCGGGGUAAAGGCCCACCAAGGCGACGAUCCGUAGCUGGUCUGAGAGGAUGGUCAGCCACACUGGAACUGAGACACGGUCCAGACUCCUACGGGAGGGAGCAGUGGGGAAUAUUGGACAAUGGGCGCAAGCCUGAUCCAGCCAUACCGCGUGGGUGAAGAAGGCCUUCGGGUUGUAAAGCCCUUUUGUUGGGAAAGAAAAGCAGCAGGUUAAUACCCCGCUGUUCUGACGGUACCCAAAGAAUAAGCACCGGCUAACUUCGUG
rnacentral:rRNA from 1 species